rnacentral:rRNA from 1 species
CGAACGGGUGAGUAACGCGUGAGGAACCUGCCUCAAAGAGGGGGACAACAGUUGGAAACGACUGCUAAUACCGCAUAAGCCCACGGCUCGGCAUCGAGCAGAGGGAAAAGGAGCAAUCCGCCUUGAGAUGGCCUCGCGUCCGAUUAGCUAGUUGGUGAGGUAACGGCCCACCAAGGCGACGAUCGGUAGCCGGACUGGGAGGUUGAACGGCCACAUUGGGACUGAGACACGGCCCAG